UACGGAGGGUGCAAGCGUUAUCCGGAUUCACUGGGCUUAAAGGGUGCGUAGGUGGGCUGGUAAGUCAGUGGUGAAAUCCCCGAGCUUAACUUGGGAACUGCCAUUGAUACUAUCAGUCUUGAAUACUGUGGAGGUCAGCAGAAUAUGUCAUGUAGCGGUGAAAUGCUUAGAUAUGACAUAGAAUACCAACUGCGAAGGCAGCCGGCUACACAAAUAUUGACACUGAGACACGAAAGCGUGGGGAUCAAACAGG
rnacentral:rRNA from 1 species